GUCGAGCGCACCUUCGGGUGAGCGGCGGACGGGUUAGUAACGCGUGGGAAUAUACCCUUUGGUACGGAAUAGCCUCUGGAAACGGAGAGUAAUACCGUAUGAGCCCUUCGGGGGAAAGAUUUAUCGCCAAAGGAUUAGCCCGCGUUAGAUUAGGUAGUUGGUGGGGUAAUGGCCUACCAAGCCUACGAUCUAUAGCUGGUUUUAGAGGAUGAUCAGCAACACUGGGACUGAGACACGGCCCAGACUCCUACGGGAGGCAGCAGUGGGGAAUCUUGGACAAUGGGCGCAAGCCUGAUCCAGCCAUGCCGCGUGAGUGAUGAAGGCCUUAGGGUCGUAAAGCUCUUUCGCCUGUGAAGAUAAUGACGGUAGCAGGUAAAGAAACCCCGGCUAACUCCGUGCCAGCAGCCGCGGUAAUACGGAGGGGGUUAGCGUUGUUCGGAAUUACUGGGCGUAAAGCGCACGUAGGCGGACUGGAAAGUUGGGGGUGAAAUCCCAGGGCUCAACCCUGGAACUGCCUCCAAAACUAUCAGUCUAGAGUUCGAGAGAGGUGAGUGGAAAUUCCGAGUGUAGAGGUGAAAUUC
rnacentral:rRNA from 1 species